rnacentral:rRNA from 1 species
UACGAAGGGAGCAAGCGUUGUCCGGAUUUAUUGGGCGUAAAGCGCGUGUAGGCGGCGUGACAAGUCGGGUGUGAAAGCCCUCAGCUCAACUGAGGAAGUGCGCCCGAAACUGUCGUGCUUGAGUGUCGGAGAGGGUGGCGGAAUUCCCCAAGUAGAGGUGAAAUUCGUAGAUAUGGGGAGGAACACCGGUGGCGAAGGCGGCCACCUGGACGACUACUGACGCUGAGACGCGAAAGCGUGGGGAGCAAACAGG